rnacentral:rRNA from 1 species
GUACCCCAAACCGACACAGGUGGUCAGGUAGAGAAUACCAAGGCGCUUGAGAGAACUCGGGUGAAGGAACUAGGCAAAAUGGUGCCGUAACUUCGGGAGAAGGCACGCUGACACGUAGGUGAAGUGAUUUACUCAUGGAGCUGAAGUCAGUCGAAGAUACCAGCUGGCUGCAACUGUUUAUUAAAAACACAGCACUGUGCAAACACGAAAGUGGACGUAUACGGUGUGACGCCUGCCCGGUGCCGGAAGGUUAAUUGAUGGGGUCAGCGUAAGCGAAGCUCCUGAUCGAAGCCCCGGUAAACGGCGGCCGUAACUAUAACGGUCCUAAGGUAGCGAAAUUCCUUGUCGGGUAAGUUCCGACCUGCACGAAUGGCGUAAUGAUGGCCAGGCUGUCUCCACCCGAGACUCAGUGAAAUUGAACUCGCUGUGAAGAUGCAGUGUACCCGCGGCAAGACGGAAAGACCCCGUGAACCUUUACUAUAGCUUGACACUGAACAUUGAGCCUUGAUGUGUAGGAUAGGUGGGAGGCUUUGAAGUGUGGACGCCAGUCUGCAUGGAGCCGACCUUGAAAUACCACCCUUUAAUGUUUGAUGUUCUAACGUGGACCCGUAAUCCGGGUUGCGGACAGUGUCUGGUGGGUAGUUUGACUGGGGCGGUCUCCUCCUAAAGAGUAACGGAGGAGCACGAAGGUUGGCUAAUCCUGGUCGGACAUCAGGAGGUUAGUGCAAUGGCAUAAGCCAGCUUGACUGCGAGCGUGACGGCGCGAGCAGGUGCGAAAGCAGGUCAUAGUGAUCCGGUGGUUCUGAAUGGAAGGGCCAUCGCUCAACGGAUAAAAGGUACUCCGGGGAUAACAGGCUGAUACCGCCCAAGAGUUCAUAUCGACGGCGGUGUUUGGCACCUCGAUGUCGGCUCAUCACAUCCUGGGGCUGAAGUAGGUCCCAAGGGUAUGGCUGUUCGCCAUUUAAAGUGGUACGCGAGCUGGGUUUAGAACGUCGUGAGACAGUUCGGUCCCUAUCUGCCGUGGGCGCUGGAGAACUGAGGGGGGCUGCUCCUAGUACGAGAGGACCGGAGUGGACGCAUCACUGGUGUUCGGGUUGUCAUGCCAAUGGCACUGCCCGGUAGCUAAAUGCGGAAGAGAUAAGUGCUGAAAGCAUCUAAGCACGAAACUUGCCCCGAGAUGAGUUCUCCCUGAGACUUAGAGUCUCCUGAAGGAACGUUGAAGACGACGACGUUGAUAGGCCGGGUGUGUAAGCGCAGCGAUGCGUUGAGCUAACCGGUACUAAUGAACCGUGAGGCUUAACCUU